ACAUAGGGUGCAAGCGUUGUCCGGAAUUAUUGGGCGUAAAGAGCUCGUAGGUGGUUCGUCACGUCGGAUGUGAAACUCUGGGGCUUAACCCCAGACCUGCAUUCGAUACGGGCGAGCUUGAGUAUGGUAGGGGAGUCUGGAAUUCCUGGUGUAACGGUGGAAUGCGCAGAUAUCAGGAGGAACACCAAUGGCGAAGGCAGGACUCUGGGCCGAUCCUGACGCUGAGGAACGAAAGCGUGGGGAGCAAACAGGAUUAGAUACCCUGGUAGUCCACGCCGUAAACUAUGGACGCUAGGUGUGGGAGACAUUCCACGUUCUCUGCGCCGCAGCUAACGCAUUAAGCGUCCCGCCUGGGGAGUACGACCGCAAGGUUA
rnacentral:rRNA from 1 species